rnacentral:rRNA from 1 species
AUUGAACGCUGGCGGCAGGCCUAACACAUGCAAGUCGAGCGAGCGGCGGGCGGGUGAGUAAUGUAUGGGGAUCUGCCCGAUAGAGGGGGCUAACUAAUGGAAACGGUGGCUAAUACCGCAUACUAUAGGAUGACCCCAAAUGGGAUGAGCUAGUAGGUGGGGUAAAGGCUUCCCAUGGCGACGAUCUCGAGCUGGUCUGAGAGGAUGAUCAGCCACACUGGGACUGAGACACGGUCCAGACUCCUACGGGAGGCAGCAGUGGGGAAUAUUGCACAAUGGGCGCAAGCCUGAUGCAGCCAUGCCGCGUGUAUGAAGAAGGCCUUAGGGUUGUAAAGCACUUUCAGCUGGGAGGCGUUACCCGCAGAAGAAGCACCGGCUAACUCCGUGCCAGCAGCCGCGGUAAUUC